rfam:Hordeum vulgare subsp. vulgare, WGS project CAJW01000000 data, contig: morex_contig_2023294
CACAUACUCCCUGCGUCCCAAAAUUCUUGUCCUAAACUUAUCAAGAUAUAAAUGUAUUUAGUCACGUUCUAGUAUCUAGAUACAUUCAUUUCUAAAAAAACAUAAGACAAGAAUUUUGGGACGGAGCGAGUAUAAU